GGCUGGACGAUUUUCUACUUAUCUUUGUAUCUUCAGAAUCCCACCCCAGGCUCAGCAUGCAGUAGUUGUUGGAAAAGUCUCUGUGGAUAUGCAAGCUCCUGGGAAGGUUUGACUGCUGUAAUUUCUGCAGCAUAUUCACUGUCCACCCAAGGGACACAUCCAUGGGCCUGCUCUCAGUGACUGUGACUUCUUCCACAUCUAGGAACCUCUCUUCAACUCCUUCCUGUGCCCAGAUUCACAUUAUUCACUUAAGUAAAUCAAAGCUGAUUUAAAUGGAUGUUUUCAAGAACUUGGAUGUUUUGUGGCCACUGGCAGCCACUGCAGACUUCAUUUGGAUGGCCCAUUCUUCACAAAGUCCAGCAAUGACCACUUACCAGAGAUUGAAAUCCAUCAAUUUUAAGUCUAUCAAGGAAAUCAUUUUGGGGCCAACAUUCAGGCAAUGACUACGAGAUGGAUUGCUCAAGACCUUGAAUACACUUCCAGAGAAAAUUCAGACUUUGAGCUGGAGUUUAUCCCUGAUCUGAAGAUUGGCUUCAAGAGUUGUUCAUCAAGAGGAGUGAAUCACAGUCACUAAAGGCACCUUCCUGUGACAUUUUGGAUGGCUCCUGGAAUAAAUUUCUACCACUGAGGAACCUUGCUGGUGAGGCAGAAGUCUCUGUCUCCACAGAGAAAAAGCCAAAAGAAGGGAGUUGUGCAUCUACUUAGAAUAAGAGAAAACGGUUUCCAGAUGGCUAAUGAAUGGUUAGGUUUCUCCGUCACAUGGCAACAAGUCUUACUUCCUCAAAUGCUGGUUCUAAGGACUACUGUGAAAUCCUACUAUUGAGAUUCAUCUAGAUCCAAUUCCAUCUCAUUAUUGUGGAGAUACGGUGCAGAGAACAAUACAUGAAUAAAUACAACUGGAUUCUGC
rnacentral:lncRNA from 1 species